AGUGCGAUAAGGGGACUCCGAGUGCGAGGGCAUAUAGUCCUCGCUUUUCUGCAACCGUAAGGAGGUUUAGGAAUAAGGRCUGGGCAAGACCGGUGCCAGCCGCCGCGGUAAUACCGGCAGUCCAAGUGAUGGCCGCUAUUAUUGGGCCUAAAGCGUCCGUAGCCAGCCAGACAGGUCCGUCGGGAAAUCCACBCGCUCAACGAGUGGGCGUCCGGCGGAAACCAGCUGGCUUGGGGCCGGAAGACCCGAGGGGUACGUCCGGGGUAGGAGUGAAAUCCYGUAAUCCUGGACGGACCACCGGUGGCGAAAGCGCCUCGRGAAGACGGACCCGACGGUGAGGGACGAAAGCUAGGGUCACGAACCGGAUUAGAUACCCGGGUAGUCCUAGCUGUAAACGAUGCUCGCUAAGUAUGGCACACACUACGAGUGUGUGCUGUGCUGUAGUGAAGACGAGAAGCGAGCCGCCUGGGAAGUACGUCCGCAA
rnacentral:rRNA from 1 species